rnacentral:misc_RNA from 1 species
GAUGAAGAACGUAGCGAAAUGCGAUAAGUAGUGUGAAUUGCAGAAUUCAGUGAAUCAUCGAAUCUUUGAACGCACAUUGCGCCCUUUGGUAUUCCUUAGGGCACGCCUGUUCGAGCGUCAUUUAAACCUUCAAGCUAAGCUUGGUGUUGGGUGACUGUCCGCUUCACGGCGGACUCGCCUCAAAAUUAUUGGCGGCCGGUACAUUGGCUUCGAGCGCAGCAGAAACGCGAACUCGGGCCCGUCGUAUUGGCUCCCAGAAGCUAUCUUCACAAUUUUGACCUCGGAUCAGGUAGGGAUACCCGCUGAACUUAAGCAUAUCAAUAAGCGGAGGA